AUUGAACGCUGGCGGCAUGCUUUACACAUGCAAGUCGAACGGUAACAGGGAGCUUGCUCCGCUGACGAGUGGCGAACGGGUGAGUAAUGCGUCGGAACGUGCCGAGUAGUGGGGGAUAACGCAUCGAAGGGUGUGCUAAUACCGCAUACGAACUGAGGUUGAAAGUGGGGGACCUUCGGGCCUCACGCUAUUCGAGCGGCCGACGUCUGAUUAGCUAGUUGGUGAGGUAAAGGCUCACCAAGGCGACGAUCAGUAGCGGGUCUGAGAGGAUGAUCCGCCACACUGGGACUGAGACACGGCCCAGACUCCUACGGGAGGCAGCAGUGGGGAAUUUUGGACAAUGGGCGAAAGCCUGAUCCAGCCAUGCCGCGUGUCUGAAGAAGGCCUUCGGGUUGUAAAGGACUUUUGUCCGGGAGCAAAUGCUGGUGGCUAACAUCCACCGGAGCUGAGAGUACCGGAAGAAUAAGCACCGGCUAACUACGUGCCAGCAGCCGCCGUAACAC
rnacentral:rRNA from 1 species